rnacentral:misc_RNA from 1 species
AACGCAUAUUGCGCCCCUUGGCAUUCCGAGGGGCAUGCCUUUUCGAGCGUCAUUACAACCGUCAAGCUCUGCUUGGUAUUGGGUCUCCGUCUCCAUGUGGGUGGGCCUCAAAGUCAUCAGCGGCUGAGAGAACGGUAUUCUAGCGUAGUAGAAAUUAACUCGCUGGGGACCAGCCCCAGGCAGCUGUCAAACACGCGCCUUUGCGCACAUCUUAGGUUGACCUCGGAUAAGGUAGGGAUACCCGCUGAACUUAA